AAAGGAGGAAUAACAACAAUACAGUCUUUAUUUGGCAGCCAAAACUCCACAGACCUCAUCCACACCCGAUGCCCGCUAACGGCUCACUUUUAAUGUUUCCUGCUGCUGCUGCUCUGGAGAGGGACCAUUUGACCCGUGUUUGGAAAACAAGCCAAAUCAAAGAGAGGAAAGCCCUUGGAAAGGCCUCAGCUUCUGCGCAGGCGGGGUGGGGUCGCUGGGUCCAGCCCUGGCCAGUUGAGUUUCUAACAAGUGCCUUGCUUCCCUGAUAUCAAUUCUUCAGCUCACUGAGGAGCUGUGGGACACUUUUCAGAGCAUACACGGUGACAUUAUUUCCCCACCAUAGUCUCCAGGAGCUUGCUAAGGGAGUGGAGACGCACUGUGCAGUGAGCUGACAUAAGAGGGUACCUGUAUCUUCCCAUCAUUGGAGGCACCUGAGUUCCCAGCCACUGGUCUACUGGCAAUGGUGGAGUGUAGAGCGAGGUGAGACAAAUCAGGAUCUGGGGAGGCUCAAUGGAAGCAGAGGCUUGGGAGCAUCAUCCACACAGCCAAGGCUUCUCCAGAGUAAGCGUCCACAGUGUUGGAAACACGCCGCAGGUGACAUAUUCAUCUCUUCCCACUGUAGCACUUAAAGCACUCCUGGGAAUAUUGGGGAGUAUGGGAAAUGUAGUACUCCUGGGAAUACUGGGGGAGUGUGGCAAGUGUAGUACCCAAGCUGCAGCAACCAGGGAAAACCUGGCAGCGUGGCUGAGGUAGAAUGUUGGGUGGGGGUGGGGCAAAUCUAGGACAGAGGCGGCCCCCACUGCAGUGGGUUUCAGCUGCUUUCCCAGAGACAUUGCUUGCCCACCCUGGGGUUCACCGUUCUUUCACCCUCCUGGUAACGGCUGCCUUGGCUGUUGUGGC
rnacentral:sRNA from 1 species